rnacentral:rRNA from 1 species
UACGGAGGGUGCAAGCGUUGUUCGGAAUUACUGGGCGUAAAGAGCGUGUAGGCGGCUGACCAAGUCCGGUGUGAAAGCCCGGGGCUUACCCCCGGAAGUGCGCUGGAAACUGUUCGACUAGAUUAUGGGAGAGGGAAGUGGAAUUCCUGGUGUAGCGAUGAAAUGCGUAGAUAUCAGGAGGAACACCGGCGGCUAAUGCGGCUUCCUGGACCAAUACUGACGCUGAGACUCGAAAGCGUGGGGAGCAAACAGU